rnacentral:rRNA from 1 species
GAUGAACGCUGGCGGCGUGCCUAAUACAUGCAAGUCGAGCGAACAGACGAGGAGCUUUCUCCUCUGACGUUGUCGGCGGACGGGUUAUUAACACGUGUAUAACCUACCUAUAAGACUGGGAUAACUUCGGGAAACCGGAGCUAAUACCGGAUAAUAUAUUGAACCGCAUUGUGCAAUAGUGAGAGACGGUUUUUGUGGGGGUUAUAGAUGGAUCCGCGCCGCAUUAGCUAGUUGGUAAGGUAACGGCUUACCAAGGCAACGAUGCGUAGCCGCCCUGAGAGCGUGAUCGCACACAUUGGAACUGAGACACGGUCCAGACUCCUACGGGAGGCAGCAGUAGGGACUCUUCCGCAAUGGGCGAAAGCCUGACGGAGCAACGCCGCGUGAGUGAUGAAGGUCUUCGGAUCGUAAAACUCUGUUAUUAGGGAAGAACAAAUGUGUAAGUAACUAUGAACGUAUUGACGGUACCUAAUCAGAAAGCCACGGCUAACUACGUG